AAUGAUCAAGAACUUGUUUGACUGAAGAGAUAGAAUGAAAAGGGAAGACCCAAAAGUGUUUUAUAACAGAAUGCGCAAGAUGGUUUGCAUCAUGGUUAUGAAGGAAAAGCUGACAGUAUUUUUGAGACAGCAAGAAAAACAUCAUUGCACACCACCAACUAAUAAGACUCCAAAGGAAUAACAAAGAUUAGAGUUUAAAGAAUGGAUUCAAUGCUGGUACUUGGAUAAAGAUAAUCAGGCAUGGACUCUCAUCUCCUAUGGAUCUUCAGCACCUUUAGGUUACAGUUUUAUAUUUCACUAGAAGAGACUCAUGAAUAAACAAAGGACAGUCAGUUACUACAAAAGAGAAGCAUUGGAGAUUAGUGAUAUUUUGUUCAGCAUUACUGCAUCUUACAAAGAUGUAAACUAUUAAAAUAUUGUUUACAUCUAUCAAUUAAUGAUUUUGAUACAUGUACCAGUAAUUAAUAAUUUUGAUGUGGGGUAAACUGGUAAAAUUGAAUGGAAAACAAGCAGAUGACUUGGUAAUGAUGUGUAAAAAACAUCAUUCAUUUAAUUAAUACAUGCAAUUGCAUGCAGUUAAAAUUCGGUCAAAAUUCUUGUGGUGUAUAUUGAAAGGUGUAACCAAG